rnacentral:lncRNA from 1 species
CGGCCCGCCCUCUCCCGCCUUUACUCUCGUGCUCUACCGGUUUAGGAAGGAGAAGUUGCAAUUUUAUUGGGUGAGAAAACCAUCUAUUACCACUUUGAAAUGCACCUUCUUCCGGCCACGCCCCCGCUUGCUUGCGGGAGCUUCCACUUCCCGCGAGAGUACCGCCGGUCGCGCUCCUCCCACGAGAACUUGGCGGAGUCGUUGCUGGGGCAUCCUCGUGAGCUUGCCUACUGGUUGUUUUACUUUUCGUUUGACUUCUGACCUGUUUUACUAUAGCCCUCCGGCUGCACCUAGCACUAAGCCACAAUCCCUAUCAGUCAUUCCAUACCCUUCUCAGUCUCCUUUGUCGUUAAUGAGGCCUACGGGAGACUCGCAUAAGGUCCCAAUUUUCUGCUGAUCCACAGGCAACCAGACCCGGAUUUGCACCGUAAAUGCCAGACUCUGAGUGGGCAUGUCGGUUCCCGGCUCUCCUUCUCACGGGUACCAUCAUCCGGAGGCCAGGGGCUCACCUAUAGGUUUGGGAGGCCUACCUGGAGGAAGCUUGAACACUAGACGGAAGAGAACGUCCAGCUAGACAUUUUGUGUGCUAAAGCCGGGGGAGAGUAGAGCUGUGCAAGUCCAGGAGACUGCUGGUUAGCCGCCCAGUGUGUCAGGAGCAGAGGCGA